CGGGAAGUGGUCAGCUGGUGAUUUUAAGACGUGAUCAGCUACUAAAUGGAUGAAGUGAUCUGCUACAAAAUGCCAUCCAAUGUGAGAAUCUAGGGUAAGAGUCCUGUACGACAGAAUUGUAAAAAUGAAUAGCAGAACUAGGUUUGCUAGAGCCAUGGAAGAGAUUCUGCUCUAAUGGGAGCAUGCCUAGGUGUUCCUGAGCGGAGAGGAAGCGGAGUAGGUUCCGCUUUCUCCGACUCCUCUUUGUCUCCGACUACAAAGAAUAAACCGCUCAAGGAGGAGAAAAUUAAAUGGAAGUCGGACAUUCCACUGACGGAGUUCCAAUUGACCCGUAAAAGAAAUGAGUUCUGGGACACCGCUCCAGCUUUUGAAGGAAAAUCUGAGGUCUGGGCAGCCCUUAAGGCUGCAACUGAUGCUGUAAGUAAAGACGACUAUUCCCUGGCUCAGGCAAUCCUAGAUGGAGCGGGCAUAUCAUUACCUGGAGGUUCUCUAGUAGAAUGCUAUGAUGAGCUAGGUACUAGGUACUCUAUACCUAUUUACUGUUUAUCUUGGCCAGCGAAUCUCAUCUCAGCAACAGACAGGGACAGUCCUGCUGAGUUUUCUGAACCUGUGAUAAUAGAUCCUGUGGAGCUAAAGGUUAAGGUUCGGAUAAGUUUGACAGGGUUGGAUGUGAAACUGAACCUGAACUCUACUGACACUAUUUCUGCUGCGAAGAAGAAGCUUGCUGAGCAGGAGGAAUUACCAAAUGAUUCUCGACAGCGUUGGUACUACGGGGGUAAACUCCUCGGAGACAGAACCAGGAUUGGUGAAGCCAAUAUUCCUCCGAAUCAUCUUAUUCAAUGUAUCGUCAAUAUUUUGGAGUUUGAUAUUAUUCAAACUCAGUGAAAAUAAUAUUUGUCUCAGAUCAAAAGAACGGAUAGGAAUUCUGAAAACAAGGAUCUUUAACUCCAGAUUAAUUUUCUUUCUUUAGGUUUCAUUCCUAUCUCCAGGUUUUAGAUCCUGUUCUAAGUUUCAUUCCUUUCUCCAGGUUUCAUUCCUUUCUCCAGGUUUCAUUUUUUUCCUAGGUUACAUUCCUUUCUCUAGAUUACAUUUCUUUUUCCAGGUUUCAUUCCUUUCUCAAGGUUUCAUUCCUUUCUCCAGGUUAUAUUCCUUUCUCCAGGUUAUAUUCCUUUCUCCAGGUUUCUUUCCUUUCUCUAGGUUUCAUUUCUUUUUCCAGGUUGCAUUACUUUUUCCAGGUUGCAUUCAUUUCUCCUGGUUUCUUUCCUUUCUUUAGGUGUCAUUCCUUUCUCCAGAUUUUGUUCCUUUUUCCAGAUUUUAGAUCCUACUUCAGGUUCCCUUUCUUUCUCCAGGUUUUGUUCCUUUCUCCAGUUCUUAUUUCUUUCUCCAGGCUCCCUUUUUUCGAGGUUUUGUUCCUUUCUCAAUGUUUCAUUUGUUUCUCCAGGUUUUGUUCCUUUUUCCAGUUCUUAUUCCUUUCUUCAGGUUACCUUUCUUUCUCGAGGUUUUGUUCCUUUUCCCAGUUCUCAUUCCUUUCUCCAGGUUUCAGUUCCUACUCCAGGUUCUUUCAAAACCUGAAUGUUACUAUAUGUGUAUAAUAUAAUCUCACAAAGAUGUAUAAAAUUCUUUGGUUGCCAUUAUAAUGUAUACAAAUUGUUUUAAAUUAUUUUAAAUUUUUCAGCUUAUUAUUUUUAUAAGAUAUUAAUUGAUACUGUACACAUUUAAAUUAAUCUGGUUUCCAGGGUCGGGAGAUUUACUAACUAUGUUGAAGAUAUGAAAACUGCACUCGGUUCUGAAUGUUGUAAAAUAUACUGUUCAAAUUGAAAUUGAUGUGUCAAAUUAUACCUUAUUCUUGUCUAACCCUAGUCAGUAGCCAGUCAAACUCAUUAAUUUGGGACACACCGCAGGGAUUAAACACGGAUUAAAACGGUUCUGAAUAGAUUAAACUCUGAUCAAAGCUGUUGAUUAAACACGUAUUUUAAAUCAAAUGUUAUUUAAUGUUUCAAGUUAUUGUACACUAAAAGUAUAGAAAUAUAUAGUUAACGUAAA